rnacentral:rRNA from 1 species
CUCACAGGGUUUUACGACUCGAAGGSCUUCAUCACCCACGCGGCGUCGCUGGGUCAGGCUUUCGCCCAUUGCCCAAAAUUCCUCACUGCUGCCUCCCGUAGGAGUCUGGCCCGUGUCUCAGUGCCAGUGUGGCCGGUUACCCUCUCAGGCCGGCUACCCAUCGCAGGCUUGGUGAGCCGUUACCUCACCAACUACCUAAUGGGGCGCAAGUUCCUCCUUAAGCGAUAGCUUGCAAGCAGAGGCCAUCUUUGCCGGCUGGGACCUGGGUCCCUACCGGGUUAUGCGGUAUUAGCGUCCCUUUCGGAACGMKSUCCCCCACUCAAGGGCAGAUUACUUACGUGUUACUCACUCGUGCGCCACUCUACUCACCCUUGCGGGCUUUCGCGUUCGACUUGCAUGUGUUAAGCACGCCGCCAGCGUUCGUUCUGAGCCAUGAUCAAACUCUAAUCGAAUUCCCGCGGCCGCCAUGGCGGCCGGGAGCAUGCGACGUCGGGCCCAAUUCGCCCUAUAGUGAGUCGUAUUACAWUUCACUGGCCSGCGUUUUACA